GAUUAUGACAUUGAAUAUCGGGUAAUUCAACCGGAUGGGGUGCAACGGUGGGUUUCAGCGAAAGGACGCGCCCAGUACGAUACCUCAGGACAGGUUUUAGGGAUGAUUGGAGUCGUGCAGGACGUGAGCGAUGCCUUCGGCGAGCUUCGCUU
rnacentral:misc_RNA from 1 species